CAGGCUUAACACAUGCAAGUCGAGGGGAAACGAUAUUGGAAGCUUGCUUCUGAUAGGCGUCGACCGGCGCACGGGUGAGUAACGCGUAUCCAACCUGCCCAUCACUUGGGGAUAACCUUGUGAAAGUAAGACUAAUACCCAAUGACGUCUCUAGAAGACAUCUGAAAGAGAUUAAAGAUUUAUCGGUGAUGGAUGGGGAUGCGUCUGAUUAGCUUGUUGGCGGGGUAACGGCCCACCAAGGCGACGAUCAGUAGGGGUUCUGAGAGGAAGGUCCCCCACAUUGGAACUGAGACACGGUCCAAACUCCUACGGGAGGCAGCAGUGAGGAAUAUUGGUCAAUGGACGAGAGUCUGAACCAGCCAAGUAGCGUGCAGGAUGACGGCCCUAUGGGUUGUAAACUGCUUUUAUAAGGGAAUAAAGUGGGAGUCGUGACUCUUUUUGCAUGUACCUUAUGAAUAAGGACCGGCUAAUUCCGUG
rnacentral:rRNA from 1 species